rnacentral:rRNA from 1 species
GGUGAUUCAUAGUAACCGAACGGAUCGCAUUAUAAUUAUCAUUAUUUGAUGAUUGGCGAUAGAUCAUUCAAGUUUCUGACCUAUCAGCUUUCGACGGUAGUGUAUUGGACUACCGUGGCAGUGACGGGUAACGGGGAAUUAGGGUUCGAUUCCGGAGAGGGAGCCUGAGAAACGGCUACCACAUCUAAGGAAGGCAGCAGGCGCGCAAAUUACCCAAUCCUGACUCAGGGAGAUAGUGACAAGAAAUAACAACGCUGGAAAUUUGAUUUCUAGUGAUUGGAAUGAUGGGAAUCCAAACCCCUUUCAGAGUAACAAUUGGAGGGCAAGUCUGGUGCCAGCAGCCGCGGUAAUUCCAGCUCCAAUAGCGUAUAUUAAAGUUGUUGCAGUUAAAAAGCUCGUAGUUGGAUGUCUGUUGGAAGCAAUCAUCAGUCCGCCCUAUUCGAUUAGGGUGUGAAUAUGAUGAAUUCCGGCACAAUUGUCUCCCUAUUGUUAAUAUUCUGAUUGUUAGAUUCAUUUCUAACAAUAAUACGAUUAUUAAUAAUAAGGGGGAAAUGUUACUUUGAGAAAAUUAGAGUGUUUGAAGCAGGCUUUUGUUGCCUUGAAUACUGCAGCAUGGAAUAACAAUAUAGGAUUUCGGUUCUAUUUUGUUGGUUCUUUUUUUAGGACUGAAAUAAUGAUUAAUAGGGACAGUUGGGGGCAUUCGUAUUUAACUGUCAGAGGUGAAAUUCUUAGAUUUGUUAAAGACGAACUACUGCGAAAGCAUUUGCCAAAGAUGUUUUCAUUAAUCAAGAACGAAAGUUAGGGGCUCGAAGACGAUCAGAUACCGUCGUAGUCUUAACCAUAAACUAUGCCGACUAGAGAUAGGAAAUUGUCAUUUUACUUGACUUCUCCUGCACCUUAUGAGAAAUC